GACGAACGCUGGCGGCGUGCCUAAUACAUGCAAGUUGAGCGCUGAAGGUUGGUACUUGUACCAACUGGAUGAGCAGCGAACGGGUGAGUAACGCGUGGGGAAUCUGCCUUUGAGCGGGGGACACCAUGUGGAAACGAAUGCUAAUACCGCAUAAAAACUUUAAACACAAGUUUUAAGUUUGAAAGAUGCAAUUGCAUCACUCAAAGAUGAUCCCGCGUUGUAUUAGCUAGUUGGUGAGGUAAAGGCUCACCAAGGCGAUGAUACAUAGCCGACCUGAGAGGGUGAUCGGCCACAUUGGGACUGAGACACGGCCCAAACUCCUACGGGAGGCAGCAGUAGGGAAUCUUGGCAAUGGACGAAAGUCUGAACGAGCAACGCCGCGUGAGUGAAGAAGGUUUUCGGAUCGUAAAACUCUGUUGGUAGAGAAAAACGUUGGUGGGAGUGGAAAGCUCACCAAGUGACGGUAACUACCCAGAAAGGCACGGCUAACUACGUG
rnacentral:rRNA from 1 species